UACGGAGGGUGCAAGCGUUAUCCGGAUUCACUGGGUUUAAUGGGUGCGUAGGCGGGCAGAUAAGUCAGUGGUGAAAUACCUGAGCUUAACUUGGGAACUGCCAUUGAUACUAUUUGUCUUGAAUGUUGUGGAGGUUAGCGGAAUAUGUCAUGUAGCGGUGAAAUACUUAGAGAUGACAUAGAACACCUAUUGCGAAGGCAGCUAACUACGCAAAUAUUGACGCUGAGGAGCGAAAGCUAGGGGAGCAAACGGG
rnacentral:rRNA from 1 species